GAACUUUCAACAUUCCGCCAUGAAUAUUCAUGAAAGAAGGCUGGUAAUUAACAGGAAGGAGUGUGCCUGCAGCAUUACACCAUCUGCUAGGGAAACGGCUCAAUAAGAAAGGCGCUGGAUAGCAUCUCAGCAGUGGCGCGAUCUGGUUCCGACAUGAGGCCGGGCAUCUGUUAGCAGAGGAGACAGACUAUUAGGAAAUUCGACUGGGAAUGAACAACAUGGAAAGAGUACUCUGACCUAGCCCAUAAAAGCAACUCUGUAGAA
rnacentral:lncRNA from 1 species